GAGGAAUUCGCAGCCGGCGGCGCGGCCGGGCGCGUUCCCUUCCCCUCUCUCCGUUGCCCGGCGAGGGAGCCACAGCGCAGCGGUUGCCAUGGCCACGGGCCGGGCGUGGGGCUGGGGGACCAGGGGCCGCUGAGCCUCGAUCACCUUGUCCUGCUCGAGCCAGGUUGGCAUGGACUGGAAGAACCCCGCGGCGGCGGGCGGGAGGUGCUGGGGCCAGGGGAGGCCCCGAGGGACCCCGCCGCCCGGUCUGCGCCCUGAUCCCGCAGGGUCCUGUGGAAAUGCGGUGUCUGCCUCCCCGCCUCCUGCGCUCACACAUGCAGGCCUGGGGCCUGCGGGUCCCGGGGCUCUGAGCCUGCACAGCCCACGGGCCGCAGCCGCAGGCCCCGCACUGGUAGCUUAGGUGGACACGGAGGCUGAGGGGGAGUUUCCAAGGGGCCUGGCCUCACGCUCUGCCCGUCACAGCCGCCACCCCUCACCGGCCCUCCACCCACCCCUAACUCCUUAACCUCUCCCGGCCUCGGUUUCCUCACCUAUUAACUAGAGAUUAGUCAUAGCUACCAUCCAGGCUUGUUAUAUUAAAAUAGAAUAAUUAUGUAAUGUGCCGUGUGCACUCCAAACGCGGUCCUCUUUCCCUGUCCCACACCUCCUUCCUCCUGCAUCAGGCCUGGGGAGGGGGGCGUGCCGAUGUCACCCCCAACCCCCAGGCCUAGAGUCCUGGACACAUGGACGCCCCUGCCAGAGCUCCCCUCCCCGCGCUUGGGGUUACUUUGAACCCCGCCUCCUACAAGAGGAUGGUCCAGCCUAUUGUCGGAACCUGCAGGAAUCCCAGGCUGCGACCCAAGAAUAUUAGCGGAGGCCCAGCCUGGCUGGGGCUCUGCAAGUCCGACCUGGGUGCCCCAGAGAGCUGCUCCGGGAAAGACGUUUACCUGCUGCCCAGAGCUGGGACUGCAGACCCUGAUUGGCGAGGGCUUGGAGAGUAGCUGAGAACCUUCCCUUCAGCUACUGAAGACCAGACAGGGCUUUCUGUAUCACGCUGCCUGACGAUGAUGAGGGUGCAGUGACUAAGAGUGCAGAUGAAAGGCCCAGCUCUCCAACCAGGUGGAUGGAUUUGCAAGGAGCUUCUAUCUGGGCGUGGUGGCUCAUGCCUGUAAUCCCAGCACUUUGGGAGGCUGAGGCGAGCGAACCACCUGAGGGUGGGAGUUCAAGACCAGCCUGACCAACAUGGAGAAACCCCAUCUCUACUAAAAAUACAAAAUUAGCCGGGCAUGGUGGCAGGCACCUGUAAUCCCAGCUACUCGGGAGGCUGAGGCAGGAGAAUCGCUUGAACCCGGGAGGCGGAGGUUGCAGUGAGCCAAGAUCGUGCCAUUGCACUCCAGCCUGGGCGACAGAGUGAGACUCCAUUUCAAAAAAAAAAAAAAAAAAGAAAGGAGCUUCUGAGAGAUGGGGUCUCCACCUCCCCAUCAGAUACUCCAGGGCUUUGGAAAGAGCUGGCUGGCUCUUGGGCAUCACCUCAACUUUCCCCUAGGUGACGCUGCCAAGGAACUGUGGCACUGUCCCUACUUCCCACAUCCAGCUCCACGGUUCCACCUCCCACCCCCCUUGCCUGUGGAAGCUCAAAAUAAGCUUUCUAGAGCAUGAUGUUUCUUGUGUGAGGGGUCAUCUGAGGUUGUAAAGACUGAAGCUCUUCACCAGAGAAACGCAGGAAGCAUCCCGCAGCUAAGUGAGGCAAUGUCUGGGGCACGCCAGGCCACGCCAGGUAGCUCAGAGGGGAGGAACGCCCCUGGCUACACAGCCUGCGUCUGAGCCCUGCUGGUGGCCAGGCCAUCUGCUGGGCUCCAUCCCUGGGCGUCUUUCCAGCCUGUCUUCAGUGCUCAGGGCGUCUUUAGCAGAGCAUAAAGUGGCAUUUCACUUGUCCCUCUACCCAACAGCAAGGAAGUGGACCUCUCUUAGGCUUUUCUUGGAAGACGAAAGGAAAGAAAGAACGUUCUCAAUGUGAGAUCCUACAGGACCACUGUACUGGGUCGAAUGGCGUCCCCCCCCACCAAAUUCAUGUCUGCAUGGAACCUACAAAUGUGACUUUGUUUGGAAAGAGGGUCUUUGCAGAUGUAAUUAAGAUGUACUCCACAGGCCUGGGGAGAUCAAGGCUAACAGCAUGUUGUAUGAGGAUGGCCCCAGUCCAAUGACUGAUGCCCUUAUAUGAGGGAAAUCUGGACACAGACACACAGAGAAGGCCACGCGGUGGUGGAGGCAGAGAUGGGAGAGAUGUGUCUACAAGCCAAGGAGCGAGCAGGACCGCCGGCCACCACCAGGAGCUGGCAGGGGCAAGGAAGUCAUUCUUCCCUGGGGGCUUCAGAGGGAGCACGGUCCCAGUACACCUUGAGUGUUGGCCUUCUGGCCUCCAGAGCUGUGAGAGAAUCCAUUUUGGUUGUUUGAAGCUGCUGAGUUUGUGGCGUUUUGUUACGGCUGUCCCAGGAAAGGAAUACAAUCACCAAAUGUCAAACACAGGGCAGCUGGGAAAAACAAGAGGGAAAUGCAUGAGGCACGUAAAGAAAAGACUUGGAAGAGACCAAGGAGGGACAGGAAGGAAUGCUUCCUCAACUUCCUCCUCGCACCCGGACAGGAAGCCGGAGACCUAGUGGCUGAGCCUUGGAAGAAGCGGCUACCUAUUCCCCCCCACAAGAGCGGGUGAGCUUGGAUGUCGGAUGAAUGAGAAGGGUCUGAAUCUUGCUGGGUCCCAGGGAGACCCUGUUAAUAAUAACAAACUCAAGAUAUGGUCUCGUCUCAUCCUCACCACAGUGCCUAAAGCAGGUUUUAUUGAAAUCCCCGUGUAUAGAUUAGGAACAAGGCAGGGCGGUUGGGUGCCUGCCCAGGGUCAUAGGCAGCAGCAGUGAUCUGGAACUGGAGCCCAGCUUUCCCACACCCUGCCCUUACCACUUGUCCUCUCCUGAUCCAGGGCUCCAGUGCCCAUGUCCAGUGCCUUGGUGGGGCUGGGCCAAGAGGCACAGCGAGGGCCCUGGCCACAGGCAGGGGCGUUGGAGCCCUGCUGCCUAGGUUUGGAUCCCAGCUCUACUCCUGGUGAGCUGUGUGACCUUGGGCAAGUUACAUUACAUCCCUGUUUUGCAGUUUCACCCACUGAGAAAAUAGGGACAAGAAUAGUACGUAACUCAUGGAGUUGCUGGAGACCUCCAUGGGUCAGUACGUUUCAGGUGCUUAGAAUAGUGCUUGGCACACUGGAAGCACAGCCAUAAAAGUGUUGUGAAAUAAAUAAAACCCGCUGGGCGAGAGAACUCUUUCUUUCAUAGCUGGGGCCAAGGAGAGGGCUUCAGGAUGGUGACCUGUCUUAUUCUUACUCCACAGACAUGGAGAUAUCAAGGCCAAUAGCAUUCUCAUGCAGUUCUCUUCUAUUUCCCAUAGAACCCUCAAGACCAGCAAGGGGGACACCUGAGAGCAGAAAGCAGAGUUGCACCCACAUUCUGGGCAGGCUGACUCAGUUGCUAGAAUCCUGCCUCUAGGGCCAAGAUUACUGUUUGAUCCUGAUCUGGGCCAGCUUUGUCCUACUGGAGGAAAGCUUGGAACCCUGAAUCCUACUUGGUUGGUCUCCUGCUUGGCUGUUUUGCUCACAGUGGGAACCUGGUCUGGGGUGAUUCACUAUCACUCAUCGCUCCACAGAAGGAUGGUGCCCGGUGCACAUCCCCAGGAUAGUGUUAACCGUCACCUUUACGCAUGGCACUCAGAAUGCGCAGAGUGGUGUGUGCAUGCAGCAACGUGUAUACACCCUGUGCAUCUGGGAGGUCCUCCAGUCAUCUCUGGCCGCGUCCUGCGGAGGGUGCUGCAGCCUCUACCUGGCCUCUGGCUCUUUCUUUCCUUUCCUUUCUUUCUUUCCUUCUUUCUCUUCCUUUCUCUUCCUUUCCUUUCUUUCCUUUCUUUCCUUUCUCUUUCCUUUCUUUCCUUCCUUUCUUCCUUCCUUCCUUCCCUUUCUUCUUUCUUUUCUUUCCUUCCUUUCCUUCUUCCUUCCUUUCUUUCUUUUUCUUCUUUCUUUCUCUCUCUCUUUCUUUCUUUCUCUCUCUCUUUCUAGAGUCUUGCUCUGUCACCACGCUGGAGUGCAGUGGAGUGAUCUCGGCUCAUUGCAACCUCUGCGACCCAGCUUCAAGCGAUUCUCCUGCCUCAGUCUCCCAAGUAGCUGGGACUAUAGGCAUGCACCACCACAAACAGUUAAUUUUUUUUGUAUUUUUAGUAGAGAUGGGGUUUCACCAUGUUGGCCAGGCUGGUCUUGAACUCCUGACCUCAGGUGAUCCCCCCCACCUUGGCCUCCCAAAGUGCUGGGAUUACAGAGGUGGCUCUUUUAAUUGACUCCUCUCCAGGCAUCUCUCCUUCCAGCCACAGAGCCUGGCCUGAUGGUCCCAGGGCCCCAGGGCCCCAGGUGAAGGCCUCUCUCCUCCCCCACUCAGGUCUGACCAGCUCUGUUUCCAUCCUGGUGUGGGCACAAGGUCUCUUGCUGCAGCUGGGCCAGUUUGCUGACCUUCUCAGCUCCUUCUCUUAGACUGGAGAGGCCUGGAAGGGUGCCCGAGGGAGGGUCUGGGCUGCUCUCCUGGGCUCCUCCCCUCCACUCCAGGACUCUGGCUGGAGCCUGGUCAGGGUCCUUACUGAGUUCUCAGCCAAGCGCCAGCCCUGUGAUGGCCUGAGGGGUCUGGUGGGGAAGCCCCAAAGUGAGGGCUCCAUAGCCCUCACUGUCCCUCCCCCAGCAUUGUGCAGUGCCGGCGGUCUCUGAGUUCUUCUGGGUAGCCUUUCUACCACAUCCUCUUGCCUACUUUCACCAGGUGGCCAAGGGACACUAAAAAAGGCAGUGAAUAGCUAGAGGACCACUCUUGAAAAUCAGCCUGCCUUCCUCCUGGUGCCAGCUCCUGUCCCUCCGGCCUCCUUUUCAUAGAAUUCUACAACAGGAGGAAACAGAGAGGUCAUCUCCUCCACCUUCACCAAGUUUCCAGAACGGAUGGGUUAGAGGGAUCUGGCGUUCUCUGAGGCUUCGGGCCAAACCUUGGACAUUGGGCUGGCCAGAGAUCUUGCUGGGGUUGCCUUGGGAAUUGUAUAUCCAUUGGGAGCACUAGCCCUGAACACCUGGGGCUCCCCACCUGCUAGGAGCUGGGAGGACUCUGGUGUUCCCUGCAACCCCCCAGGGUCUGGGUGGACGGAAUGGCAGCCCAGGACUGUUCCCCAGGCUGACCUGGACUCUGAUGAGAGCCAAGAGUGGACCUAGCUGUCAUUUAGAUCCCUGGGGGAGCCUUCACAGUAGCUGCCAAGCAGAGGUCCUGGCACUGGGGAGGGUUCUCACACGUAGGAGGGGCAGUACUUAAGCAAGUAACAGUGGAGAGGGCACUGGAUUUGACAUCAGCUGAGAGGUGGUCCGUUUCUGCUUCUCUCACUGCUUAUCUGUGAUCUGAGGCAAGCCUAAACUCCUCUACAGCUUAGUUUACUCAUCUGGAAAGUGUGGUAUAUUUUAUUUUACCUGCCUUACAUCUGAGGCAUGGAGGAAGGACGGAAUGAGAUCACCUAUUAAAAUGCAUUUUGAAAAAACAAAAGUGCUAUUUAUGCAAACACAUGGUACUAAAAAUAAAAGAUGCCUGUUUGCUUCUGGAAGUAAAAGUUGUGAAUGAUGCCGGGCGCUGUGGCUCACACCUGUAAUCCCAGCACUUUGGGAGGUCAAGGCGGGUGGAUCACAAGGUCGAGAGAUCGAGACCAACCUGGCCGACAUGGGGAAACCCCAUCUCUACUAAAAAUACCAAAAAAAUUAGCUGAGCACGGUGGCACACGCCUGUAGUCCCAGCUACUCAGGAGGCUGAGGCAGGAGAAUCACUUGAACCCGGGAGGCGGAGGUUGCAGUGAGCCGAGAUUGCGCCAUUGCACUCCUGCACUCCAGCCUGGUGACAGAGCGAGACCAUCCGUCUCAAAAAAAAAAAAAAAAAAAAGUUAUGAAUUAAGUGAUAUUUUAAUGAUCCAGGAACCCCAUUAUUUAAAGAACAUUUUGUCUUUUGUACAGCCACAGAGCCAGUGUUUGAUGAGUUUCCAGCAAGCAUCACCCAUUCUGCUAGAUUUUGUGAGGAACAUAAAAAAGCAGAAGAUAUAGGGCCUGGUACGGAGUUGGCAUUCAAUUAAUAAUCAUUGGGCAGGGCACGGUGGCUCAGACCUGUGUUCCCAGCACUUUGGGAGGCUGAGGUGGGUGGAUCACCUGAGGCCAAGAGUUCAAGACCGGCCUGGCCACCAUGGUCAAACCCCAUCUCUACUAAAAGUACAAAAAUUAGCCGGGCCUGGUGGCACAUGGCGGUAGUCCCAGCUACUCGGGAGGCUGAGGCAGGUGAAUUGCUUGAGCCUGGGAGGCAGAAGUUGCAGUGAGCCAAGAUCAUGCCACUGCACUCCAGCCUGGGCGACACAGUGAGACUCUGUCUCAAAAUAUAUAUAUAUAUUAAUAAUCAUUGGAUGAAUAAGAGCGAAUUUCUUCCAUCUGAGAGUUCACAGUCCAGUUUGGACGGGGACAGUCAUGUGACCGGGUGAUGAAUGAGUGGUGCAGGCUGUACAUAUAAUAUGCAUUUGGAGGGAGGAGAGGUCUCCAGGGUGUGGGAGGCUUCAGGGAGGAGGCAGGAAGGGAGAAAUCCUCAGCAGAGAGGGAGAACUAGAAGAGAGAAUUGGAGGGGCUGGCUGGGAAGAAGGGCUAACCCCAACAUGGGCUCCUAAUCCCAAGUGAGCAGGGAAGUGAUGAAUAUGGUGGGCAGGGAAGAAGACCACCCUGAUGGGAAGAAGUUUGCCUCCUAGCGUGGGGUGGAGUGGGGGCAGAGUAAACUUCCCACUGGGGCUACAGUUGAAGGGUUUUGGAAACCCAGCUUAGUGGAAAAUGCCAGGGGGAACCAGUAUAGAUCCUACAGGGAUGGGCUGCCUGUGUGCAUGACAUCAUGAAAGCAAUAUUUUUAGAAGAUGAGUCUGGCAUGGAUGGGCCCAUGGGGACAUACCAAACUUCUUGAAGUUCCCCAAAGUUUCCCUUUUCCGGGCUAUUUCCCUGUUUCUGAGAAUGCCCCAUUCUCCCAAGCCUGUGGAAGGAACACCUGCUGUUUCACCUUAACUUACGCAUCACCUCUUCUGGGAAGCCACUAGAGGUCAUUUCCUCCUGGGCACCCCCAGCUGUACCCUGUCUACCACUUUAUUUUUACACCCAUUCCUUUUUAGGAUACUUCUUGGUUUUCACAUCUGGUUCCCCUUUCAGACUGUGAGUCUCUUGAAGCCUGGAAUAUUUCCUGAUUGUUAUUUUUGUCCAGCAACAGGCAUGGUGGCCAGAGCCGUGUUUCCACCUAUGUUGGUAUCACCUGGGGCACCUGGGUCCCAGGUGACACCUGGGUCAGGCAAACAUCAGGUGCUGCUGAUACACCCUAAAGUUUAGGAACACUGCAGCUCCACCUCUCUCACAUGGCCUCAUAGGACAACAUCUACAAAGAGCAUAUCAUGAUAUAAACAGCACCCCCUGGAGUUGUGCAGCACAGACACCUCCUGGAGGACCCAGGUCCUCAUGGAUUCAGUUUUUUUUUUUUCACUUUAUUUUCUUUCUCUCUCUUUCUCCUUCCUUCCCUUCUCUUCCUCCCUUCUUCCUUCCUUCCUUCCUUCCUUUCUCUCUCUCUUUCUUUCUUGGUGUGUCACUCUGUGACUCAGGCUGGAGUGCAGUGGCACCAUCUGGGCUCUCUGCAACUUCUGCCUUCUGGGUUCAAGCGAUUCUCCUGCCUCAGCCUCCCGAGUAGCUGGGAUUACAGGCGCCGCCACCACACCCGGCUAAUUUUUGUAUUUUUUGUAGAGAUGGGGUUUUGCCAUGUUGGCCAGGCUGGUCUCAAACUCCUGACCUCGAGUGAUCCGUCCACCUCGGCCUCCCAAAGUGCUGGGAUUACAGGCGUGAGCCACCAUGCCCAGCCGGAUUUAAUUUUUCAUGUCUGUACCUUCAACAUUCUGUACAUUACAGGCGCUAAAUAACAUUUUCUGUAGGAAAAUACUAUGAUUGGAGAUUUGGGGGAGGGGAGGUGAAAGAGAGGAAAUAUAUCGUCUUGUGUAAUGUAAAUA
rnacentral:lncRNA from 1 species